rnacentral:rRNA from 1 species
CAUGUCUUUUUGAUUAUAAUUUAAAGUCUAACCUGCCCUAUGAAUUUUAAAUGGCCGCAGUAUUUUGACUGUGCAAAGGUAGCAUAAUAAUUAGUUUUUUAAUUGAGAACUGGUAUGAAUGGUUGAACGAGAAAAAUGCUGUCUCAAUUUAAUUUAAAUUAGAAUUUUAUUUUUAAGUAAAAAAGCUUAAAUAAUUUUAAAAGACGAGAAGACCCUAUAGAGUUUUAUAUUAUUUAAUAUUUUUAAAAAUUAAAGUAUUUUAAAUUUAAUUAUAUUAAAUUAGUAUUUAAUUGGGGUGAUUGAAAAAUUUAAUUAACUUUUUUUAUAUACAAACAUUAAUUUAUGAAUAUAUGAUCCAUAUUAUUAUGAUUAUAAGAUUAAAUUACCUUAGGGAUAACAGCGUUAUUUUUUUUGAGAGUUCUUAUCGAAAAUGAAGUUUGCGACC